CAGUCUGCUCUGCUCCGGCUGCGCGCUGUCCGCGGACUGGGUGCUGGAGACCGAGGACACGCUGGAGCUCCGCACGAAGCCAAACGCCGCCAGCUUGGCUGCUGGGAGACGUGAUAUCCCCAGAACAAUGAAAGUAUCCCCAUAUAUCAGAUACCACCUUCACAGUACAAGCACAGGUAUCCUACAACUUGAGGCACUGCAGACCCAAUGAAUGUUUCAAGUUGUUUCACUACAGUAUGGUUACGAGUGGUAUUGCUGGGUGAGGAACGUUCUGCAAAUUUGGCAAACAUAUGCUGUCCUAUGACCACCACCAGCACAGUCAAACAAAACGAACACUUCCACGAACUCCAAAAAUUGCCCCAAGCCGUUUUGUAAAUCAACCAUUCCCUGAUCCCUAGUCCCUGCCAACCAAUAAUCCGGUCUCUGUUCCUAGGUUUUGCCUUUUCCAGAAUGUCAAUUAAAUGUAACUACACAGUGUGAAGCCUUUGUAUCCAGCUUCUUUCGGCACCGUGCAUCUGAGAUUCAUCACGGUGUUGUGUCUAUCCGUAGUUGUUCCCUUUUAUGGCUAAAUAAGGCUCUGUGCUACGAACCACAGUUUAUGUAGCUGUCUUCCAGUUGAGGGACACUGAGGUACUUCCAGGUUUGGGCAACUAUAAAGAAAGAUACUAGAACAUUCACGUACCAGUGUUUGCAUGAAACUGGGCCACUCUGGGGAGUUCCAAAACGCUAAGCCAGACAGAAUGCCAUGACACCAAGCAUGAACUGUACAUAUGGUCACUCUGCUUAGAACACACUUCUCACCACCCAAGGUUAUCUGAUCCUUGUCCUUGUACCCAUUUAUUAUCUGCCUUUCCGCAUCCCAUAUAAGCUGUGGGAGGGCAGGCACCUCCUCCUCUGUUCGCCACUCUAUUCUAGAGCCUAGAACAGUAGCUGGCCUGUGGUAGGAACUCAAAAGCAUUUUUUAACUGAAUACAGUUCGCUCAACCCUGGGAAUUUGUUUUCAAUACCUAAAUGACACUUUCUCUUACCAGGUGCUGUUUUCAGUGUUUUGUUGCACUUAAUCCAUAACAAUCCCAGGGCUAGAUAUUAUCGUUUUACACAGCGAGGCAGAGAGAAGUGAAAUAACUUCUGAGCGUAAGUGCAAAGGGCUGGACUCUGAACCCCCAGGCGGGCUCUUAAGCCACCAUGCCAAGCUUCGGUGGAAUCGUCAGCUUUUAAACUUGAUAGGGUGUAAAAAGCCUUAUUAUUUUGUUACUUUACCUCUAGUAAAGUUACAUUUCAUACGCUGUUUGGCCAUCUGCAUUUCUUCUCUUACACUGUGUGUCUCUGAAGCGAAAAUAUUUUUAACGGUAGACAUGGGAGACAAGGUAUUUCCAGAAUGCAGGUGAUAUCGAGAGAGAAUGAGAUAAUCGUGUUUAAGGACCUGUUCCAGAGAACGAGGGCCAGACAGGAGACCUCUUGGCCACGGCCCGCCUCGCAACGCCCAUCCCAGCUCUCCCAAGGCUCCUCUUUUUGGAUUAUUGGUUCUGUCAUCUACCUCACCACCAAAGCUGAAACUAAGAGCUUCCUUGGCCCUUUUAACUCACACCCCACCCACCGGUGAGGGCUAUCGGAUGGGCUUCCCAAGGGCAUCACCAGCCCACCCACUUUUCUCCCUCUCUGCCUCCACAUCAUCUCCCACAUAAGCCACUUAUAAGUCUCCUUCCAGAUCUCCUGGCUUCCAAUCUUGCUUCUCUAAUGAGCCAUUUUCCCUUCACAAGGCAUCUAGAGUGGUAUCUUGUCAUGGUAAUGGUCACUUCAUGGCCACAAACCCUCCCAUGGCCUCCUUGCUGGGACCUGUGUGGCCCUGCGAAAUCUCCCCUCGCCCCCUCCUCCCCUGGAAGCCUGCCCACUGACUCCGCAUUUGUUCUUCACUGCUUGCACACUCCAUGCCUGGCUCUUCACAUGGACGGACCCAUCCUACAUAUCAGGGGUCAUCUUGAACGUGCCCUCCCCAGACAAACUUUCCUUGAGGUGCAUCGUCUUUCCCCGGCCACAGUCUGUGCUUCUUCCCCAGCCUUCUUCCGUUAUUCUCCAUGUUUAUUUGUUCAUUGUCUUCCUCUUCCAGUAGGACAUGAGCUCCGUGAGGAUAAGCAAGGGUCGCAUCCGCCCUGCUCACCAUCGAUCCCCAGUGAGCGGAACGGUGUCCAACAACUUCAGGCACUCACUAAAUAUUGUUGAAUUAAUACAGUAGCACACGGAAUCUCUCCUAACUUACUUGGCUCUCUGGAUAACGCCUUGCUGAGCAUAUAUCCGUCACAGAAAGUCACUGAGUAUUUGAGAUAGAAAGGAACAGAGACAUGAAUUAUGUCAAGCCUCUCGUUUUACACGAGGAGGAUGAAGCCCAGGGAGACUCGGGCCGAGUCCGCCAGCUGAGACCUGUCACAGCCACACGGGGGCCGGGCGCCCAUGCCAAGACUAGCACUUGGCCCCUUCCGCAGACCGUGGACUCCCCCAGACAGCCUCGCAUGUUAGGAAGAUAAGAGAAAAAAAGGUUACGUGGGGACAGGACUCAAAGGGCUCUGCGACAGACCCAACUGAGCAUCAACUGAUACAAAACACAGUACAGGAACAAUUAAAAGAUGAGUAAAAGAAAAGUCUGGGGGCGCCUGGGCGGCUCAGUCAGUUAAGCGUCCGACUUUGGCUCAGGUCAUGAUCUCGCGGUCCAUGAGUUCAAGCCCCGC